GCGAGUGAAGCGGGAAGAGCUCAAAUUUGUAAUCUGGCGUCUUUCAGGCGUCCGAGUUGUAAUCUAUAGAAGUGUUUUCCGUGCUGGACCAUGUCCAAGUCCCUUGGAACAGGGUAUCAAAGAGGGUGACAAUCCCGUACUUGACAUGACCACCAGUGCUCUGUGAUACACUCUCUACGAGUCGAGUUGUUUGGGAAUGCAGCUCAAAAUGGGUGGUAAAUUCCAUCUAAAGCUAAAUAUUGGCGAGAGACCGAUAGCGAACAAGUACCGUGAGGGAAAGAUGAAAAGCACUUUGGAAAGAGAGUUAAACAGUACGUGAAAUUGUUGAAAGGGAAACGAUUGAAGUCAGUCGUGUUCAUUGGACUCAGCCGGUUUUCGGUGUAUUUCCUUUGAACGGGUCAACAUCAGUUUUGUCCGGUGGAUAAAGGCAGGAAGAAAGUGGCUCCCUCGGGAGUGUUAUAGCUUUCUGUCACAUACACUGGAGGAGACUGAGGACUGCAGCUCGCCUUUUGGCCGGGGUUCGCCCACGUUCGAGCUUAGGAUGUUGACAUAAUGGCUUUAAACGACCC
rnacentral:rRNA from 1 species